UGGGGAAUAUUGCACAAUGGGCGCAAGCCUGAUGCAGCCAUGCCGCGUGUAUGAAGAAGGCCUUCGGGUUGUAAAGUACUUUCAGCGGGGAGGAAGGCGAUAAGGUUAAUAACCUUGUCGAUUGACGUUACCCGCAGAAGAAGCACCGGCUAACUCCGUGCCAGCAGCCGCGGUAAUACGGAGGGUGCAAGCGUUAAUCGGAAUUACUGGGCGUAAAGCGCACGCAGGGGGUCUGUCAAGUCGGAUGUGAAAUCCCCGGGCUCAACCUGGGAACUGCAUUCGAAACUGGCAGGCUAGAGUCUUGUAGAGGGGGGUAGAAUUCCAGGUGUAGCGGUGAAAU
rnacentral:rRNA from 1 species